rnacentral:misc_RNA from 1 species
UCUCCGUUGGUGAACCAGCGGAGGGAUCAUUACAGGGUUGCAAAACUCCCAAACCAUUGUGAACGUUACCUAUCCCGUUGCUUCGGCGGGCGGCCCGGGCCCCGCGCCCGGCGCCCCCCGGCCCCCCGUGGGCGCCCGCCGGAGGUAAACCAAACCCUUGAAUUGCAUGGCCUCUCUGAGUCUUCUGUACUGAAUAAGUCAAAACUUUCGACAACGGAUCUCUUGGUUCUG